rnacentral:rRNA from 1 species
GUUUACGGCCACACCACCCUGAUCACGCCCGAUCAUGCCCGAUCUCGUCUGAUCUCGGAAGCUAAGCAGGGUCGGGCCUGGUUAGUACUUGGAUGGGAUCCCACCUGGAAAUACCGGGUGCUGUAAGCU